rnacentral:rRNA from 1 species
GACGAACGCUGGCGGCGUGCUUAACACAUGCGAGUCGAACGGUGAAGCGCCUUCCUUUUUGGUGGGUGUGGAUGAGUGGCGAACGGGUGAGUAACACGUGAGUAACCUGCCCCCUUCUUCUGGAUAACCGCAUGAAAGUGUGGCUAAUACGGGAUAUUCUGGGUCUGUCGCAUGAUGGGUCUGGGAAAGAUAUUGUUUCGGUGGGGGAUGGGCUCGCGGCCUAUCAGCUUGUUGGUGGGGUGAUGGCCUACCAAGGCGGUGACGGGUAGCCGGCCUGAGAGGGUGGACGGUCACACUGGGACUGCGACACGGCCCAGACUCCUACGGGAGGCAGCAGUGGGGAAUAUUGCACAAUGGGCGCAAGCCUGAUGCAGCGACGCCGCGUGAGGGAUGGAGGCCUUCGGGUUGUGAACCUCUUUCGCCAGUGAAGCAGGCCUGCCUCGUUUGUGGGUGGGUUGACGGUAGCUGGAUAAGAAGCGCCGGCUAACUACGUG